rnacentral:misc_RNA from 1 species
GUAGGUGAACCUGCGGAGGGAUCAUUCACAUGAUUUACUUUAUAAACAAAUCGUGAACUUUAUUAUUAUACUAUUCUUGUAGGGAUUAUUUUAUAAUCUUUUACAACGUCAUUCGAUGAACAUUAGAUAGCUGGCUCGUUUUUUUAAAAAAAACUUUCUCAGCUGAUUUGUUUGUUAGACUAAACAUCUAUUCAAUCAAUCAACCAAACAUAGAAACAACUCUAUGCCCUGGAUAUCUUGGUUCUC